GAACAAAAACAUGGAAAGCCAUGUGCUCAAAAGACAAAGCAACAACAAAAGACGAGGAAGGCAAGCGGGACCGCUAGCAGCCAUGCAAUCAAGUUUCACUGGUUUUUACGGAUAUUAUGCAUGAACCCGCACACUACACUGCAUAACAAUGAAAAACAUCAGCACUCUGGCAUCCGCUGGUUCUUCAUUAUCGGGGCUUAUUCGACGUCCCCUGUUGAAGGAGAGCAGCUAACUUUAGCCAAGCUAGGCUAACGCUUUGUCCCGACAUGGCAGGACACACCAGCUGCAGGCGAUAAUCACUAGGAGGAACGAGAGCCAAAGGUCUCAUAGACGUCAGUGAAGGAGAAGCUCCUCUGGGAACGCCAUCCGACAUGGAGGGCAUUACUGGAAGUGUAUUACUGAUGUGCUUUAUCGGCU